AGCGAACGCUGGCGGCAGGCCUAACACAUGCAAGUCGAACGAUCCUUCGGGAUAGUGGCGGACGGGUGAGUAACACGUGGGAACGUGCCCUUUGGUUCGGAACAACUCAGGGAAACUUGAGCUAAUACCGGAUGUGCCCUUCGGGGGAAAGAUUUAUCGCCAUUGGAGCGGCCCGCGUAGGAUUAGCUAGUUGGUGGGGUAAUGGCCCACCAAGGCUCCGAUCCUUAGCUGGUCUGAGAGGAUGAUCAGCCACACUGGGACUGAGACACGGCCCAGACUCCUACGGGAGGCAGCAGUGGGGAAUCUUGCGCAAUGGGCGAAAGCCUGACGCAGCCAUGCCGCGUGAAUGAUGAAGGUCUUAGGAUUGUAAAAUUCUUUCACCGGGGACGAUAAUGACGGUACCCGGGGAAGAAGCCCCGGCUAACUUCGUGCCAGCCGCCGCAGUAAAAC
rnacentral:rRNA from 1 species